CCACAGGCCGUAAACCCAAGGUUUCCAGGGGAAGGUUCGUCCGCCCUGGGUUAGUCGGGACCUAAGCUGAGGCCGAAAGGCGUAGGUGAUGGACAACAGGUUGAUAUUCCUGUACUACCGAUAACCGGUUGAGAGAAGGGAUGACACAGUAGGAUAAGCUAAGCACACUGUUGGUUAUGUGUGCCCAAGCAGUGAGGCAGUCAAAGUAGGCAAAUCCGCUUUGAUAAUGCUGGGAUGUGAUGGGGAGCGAAAUUUAGUAGCGAAGUAGCUGAUUUCACACUGUCAAGAAAAGUCUCUAUCGAGGUUAAAGGUACCCGUACCGCAAACCGACACAGGUG
rnacentral:rRNA from 1 species